AACGCUGGCGGCGUGCUUAACACAUGCAAGUCGAACGAAGCACUUUGAUCGAUUUCUUCGGAUUGAAAUUUUAGUGACUGAGUGGCGGACGGGUGAGUAACGCGUGGGUAACCUGCCUCACACAGGGGGAUAACAGCUGGAAACGGCUGCUAAUACCGCAUAAGCGCACAGUACCGCAUGGUACAGUGUGAAAAACUCCGGUGGUGUGAGAUGGACCCGCGUCUGAUUAGCUAGUUGGCAGGGCAACGGCCUACCAAGGCGACGAUCAGUAGCCGGACUGAGAGGUUGAUCGGCCACAUUGGGACUGAGACACGGUCCAGACUCCUACGGGAGGCAGCAGUGGGGAAUUUUGGACAAUGGGGGCAACCCUGAUCCAGCCAUGCCGCGUGCAGGAUGAAGGCCUUCGGGUUGUAAACUGCUUUUGUCAGGGACGAAAAGGACCGUGUUAAUACCAUGGUCUGCUGACGGUACCUGAAGAAUAAGCACCGGCUAACUACGUG
rnacentral:rRNA from 1 species